GAGAUCGGGAUAACACCUGGAAACAGAUGCUAAUACCGGAUAACAAUAGAUGAUGCCUAUCAACUGUUUAAAAGAUGGUUCUGCUAUCACUCUUGGAUGGACCUGCGGUGCAUUAGCUAGUUGGUAGGGUAACGGCCUACCAAGGCGAUGAUGCAUAGCCGAGUUGAGAGACUGAUCGGCCACAUUGGGACUGAGACACGGCCCAAACUCCUACGGGAGGCAGCAGCG
rnacentral:rRNA from 1 species